rnacentral:rRNA from 1 species
GACGAACGCUGGCGGCGUGCUUAACACAUGCAAGUCGAACGGAAAGGCCCUGCUUUUGUGGGGUGCUCGAGUGGCGAACGGGUGAGUAACACGUGAGUAACCUGCCCUUGACUUUGGGAUAACUUCAGGAAACUGGGGCUAAUACCGGAUAGGAGCUCCUGCUGCAUGGUGGGGGUUGGAAAGUUUCGGCGGUUGGGGAUGGACUCGCGGCUUAUCAGCUUGUUGGUGGGGUAGUGGCUUACCAAGGCUUUGACGGGUAGCCGGCCUGAGAGGGUGACCGGCCACAUGGGGACUGAGAGACGGCGCAGACUCCUACGGGAGGCAGCAGUGGGGAAUAUUGCACAAUGGGCGGAAGCCGGAUGCAGCAACGCCGCGGGCGGGAUGACGGCCUUCGGGUUGUAAACCGCUUUCGCCUGUGACGAAGCGUGAGUGACGGUAAUGGGUGAAGAAGCACCGGCUAACUACGUG